rnacentral:rRNA from 2 species
CCGGGGUUGCGGACAGUGUCUGGUGGGUAGUUUGACUGGGGCGGUCUCCUCCCAAAGCGUAACGGAGGAGCACGAAGGUUAGCUAAUCCUGGUCGGACAUCAGGAGGUUAGUGCAAUGGCAUAAGCUAGCUUGACUGCGAGCGUGACGGCGCGAGCAGGUGCGAAAGCAGGUCAUAGUGAUCCGGUGGUUCUGAAUGGAAGGGCCAUCGCUCAACGGAUAAAAGGUACUCCGGGGAUAACAGGCUGAUACCGCCCAAGAGUUCAUAUCGACGGCGGUGUUUGGCACCUCGAUGUCGGCUCAUCACAUCCUGGGGCUGAAGUAGGUCCCAAGGGUAUGGCUGUUCGCCAUUUAAAGUGGUACGCGAGCUGGGUUUAGAACGUCGUGAGACAGUUCGGUCCCUAUCUGCCGUGGGCGCUGGAGAAUUGAGGGGGGCUGCUCCUAGUACGAGAGGACCGGAGUGGACGCAUCACUGGUGUUCGGGUUGUCAUGCCAAUGGCACUGCCCGGUAGCUAAAUGCGGAAGAGAUAAGUGCUGAAAGCAUCUAAGCACGAAACUUGCCCCGAGAUGAGUUCUCCCUGAGACUUUAAGUCUCCUGAAGGAACGUUGAAGACGACGACGUUGAUAGGCCGGGUGUGUAAGCGCAGCGAUGCGUUGAGCUAACCGGUACUAAUGAACCGUGAGGCUUAACCUUACAACGCCGAAG